rnacentral:rRNA from 1 species
GACAGAGGAUGCAAGCGUUAUCCGGAAUUAUUGGGCGUAAAGCGUCCGCAGGUGGCUGUUCAAGUCUGCUGUCAAAGCGCAGAGCUUAACUCUGUACAGGCGGUGGAAACUGAAGAGCUAGAGUAUGGUAGGGGUAGAGGGAAUUCCCGGUGUAGCGGUGAGAUGCGUAGAUAUCGGGAAGAACACCAGUGGCGAAAGCGCUCUACUGGGCCAUAACUGACACUGAGGGACGAAAGCUAGGGGAGCGAAAGGG